UCAGCGCUCUUGGGCCUCUGAGAAAGAAGCUGCGGGGCACGGGUGCCGCCGACCACCUCCACCCGCCAGUCCUUUGCUGAGCUUGGAGUCAGAGCGGAGGUGACACUGGAGCAGAAAGGAAAUUCGCUUUUGAGUUGGUGUCCUCUGCAGAAUCCAGUGUACUGCCAUAUCCUACAUGUACAUUUGGAUAUGCUGUUCACAGCUCCGUUGAAGCCACUGAGCAGGCCCAACUCUGACACAUGCAUUCCAAGGUGCUGCAACCUGGCCCUGCUCAGUUUGCUCUGAUCCCUGGCUCAUGCAAACCAGUAGGUAUGGCAGCCAAGCCUGGAAUGACCUACACUUCGUCCUGGUUUCUGCACUUGCCAGUGAGCUAUGGUUUGCUCGGCCCUGCCCGUUUCACCCCCUUUCAAAACCAACUCACACACUUGCCGACAGAUGGAGCUACCCUGCCCAGCCUGCCCAACACUCAAGCCUGGACCACAUGCUGGACCUAAUAACCCAUUAAGGGAGUUUCCUAGGUUCUCCCACUUGGGCCACUCCCAGACCCAGAUCUCAUGCAUGCCAACAGGUUUUUGACCCUUAUCCAACAUGGCCUGCCCCAUCCAUCUGAGCCUUUACAUGAGCUGGUGCAACCUGGUCUGUCCACACCCUGUUUAAGGAUGCACAUUUGGGUGCUAUAGCCUGAACCUGCCUCACUUGUUCCCAGCCCCAGUACUGGUAAGUGUUGGUGAGUUCCAUGGUCAUGCCUAGCUCAGCCUAUCACCAUCCCAACUCUCAGGCAAAACCCAGGACUUGUAGUUCCAUAUAGUUGGGCCCACUAUCCCCCACAAAAUCCACCCCGGACCUGAUUCUCUUGCAUGCCGGUUGGUGUCAUGGCCCAGUCUGAUGUGACCCAUCCCCUGAUCCGACACUCACGGUCAGGUACUGGGAUCUAGCCCUGCCACACAGGUUCCCAGCCAUACCUUGCAUGUGUGCUGGCAUGUGGUGGUCAGCCAUGUUCCAUGCUAAUAUGGCCAACCCAGGACUCCCAUGUGAGCUAGUGCAUCAGUCUGACUGAUAAAGCUCUUCAGGUCUCGCCCCUCCAAACCACCAGGUCUAGGUUCUCUCGGUUACCUGCAAGUACAGUGGCCCUGUUGUUGGAUGUCCCUCAGGAUUCAUUCCUUGUCUGUACUCUACCGA